rnacentral:lncRNA from 1 species
CUAGAUAUCAUGCCUAUAGGGAGCUUGAGGGAUGUGAUUGAAGCUUUGAUUCCGCAUUGCGAUCCUAAAAAUAAUGUGUUCCAUUUUACUGACUGUGAAAUGAGUCCGACUUUGGAGGAAAUCGCCCAUUUCUAUGGGUGGGGCCAUAAUCUUCACCGCCAGAGGCCCAUAGUACCAAAAAGUGUGAAUGAGGCUAAGUUUAUGAAACUAUUGAACGUAAAUUACAGACAGUAUGAAGGUUUAGGAGGCAAGUGGGUUAAGUUGGGAUUUCUGUUUCAUUUGUACGACCUAGAAUGCAAUUUCGAAAGGAAUGUGAGAAAAUUUGAAAUCAAAGUAAGACAAGGAAACAUGAAAGAUACACAGAAGGUUUGCAUUUAUGGUUGCUCUUUUGGGGUGUGUAGUUUUUUAGAAAGAGAAGGACGCGUUGACAUCCGGUUGGCAGGUGUAGUUGAGGAUCUGACUUCCAAAGGGGAUGAUUAUACUUUGGUCCCUAUGAUUCUUUUUUCCAUUUUUCGUGCUUUAACUGGAUGUAAAUUGGGAGCUUGAAACUUUGAUGGCUGCAACAUUUUGUACAAAUAUAGUUUUAGAGCAUUUUUAUCGUCAUCCUAUGAUCUCUAAUUUUAGUAAACGCUGUCCCAAUCACACUUUUGAUCACUAGAAAAGAAUUGACAAAUGUCACUUACCUGAAGGGAUUAAUGCCUGGAAAGAACUACUUCUUACUUUGUCUACCAAACAGAUCACAUGGAAUUAAGAUUGGUUUUCCUCGAAAGAGGUCAUUUGGGAAUCUACAUACCAUUAUUAUUUGGUACUCAUAGGAUAGGAUGGUUUUAGCCUUAUGCUCCACUUCGGGUAAUGCGCUAGUUUGCAUAAUGACAGGAGGUGCCACCAACACGAGAUAUGAGCAAGUUCUAUUAUGAUUUUGGUAAAGAUCAACCUCAUGACGAAGAGGAAAUUAUGAAAAUUUGGUAUGCAAAUAAAGUUUUGGAGUUCAAUGAGAUGGUAGAGGACAGAGAUCGUAGAGAGGCAAUCCUUGAAUAUAUUACUUGGUUUCAUGAUCCUUCACCAUUUAUAGAUAAGCCUGAGGGGUCGAAUAGGAGAAAAAGAGGAAAUUAUGAAAAUUUGGUAUGCAAGUAAAGUUUCGGAGUUCAAUGAGAUGGUAGAGGACUGAGAUCUUAGAGAGGUGAUCCCUGAAUAUAUUACUUGGUUUCAUGAUCUUUCGCCGUUAUGAGAUAAGCCUGAGGGGUCGAAUAGAAAGAGAAAUGAUCAAAGAACUAUAGAAAAGUUGAAAGAGAAAUUGGAGCAUGCUCAGAUGAUUAUAGCCAAACAACAAGCCUAACAGCAAGCCGGAGUCGCUCAUAUUCGUUUAAUCAUUGAGAAAGAUUAUUAAUCUGCCUUGGGGUCAUGGAUAAAG